GGGGAUAUAGCUUAAAUGGUAAAGCAAGUGGCUCAUAACCGCUUCGAUGUGGGUUCAAGUCCCGCUGUCCCCACCA
rnacentral:tRNA from 1 species